rnacentral:ncRNA from 1 species
GGAUGUUUUUCAGGAGAGUGUUGCAAAAGCAAUCACCGAAGGCGUAAUGUUGUAAAUCUUAAAUUUAUUUUUUAGGAUUUAAAACCCCCUAUAAUCGCUCAGGUAACAAGGACUGAAAGACUUAA